UGCGUAGGCGGCGCGGUAAGUCGGGUGUGAAAUCUUGGAGCUUAACUCCGAAACUGCAUUCGAAACUGGCGGGCUUGAGGGUUGGAGAGGAGACUGGAAUAGUCGGUGUAGCGGUGAAAUGCGUAGAGAUCGACUAGAACACCGGUGGCGAAGGCGAGUCUCUGGACAAUUCCUAACGCUCAUGCACGAAAGCCAGGGGAGCAAACG
rnacentral:rRNA from 1 species